rnacentral:misc_RNA from 1 species
GUGAAGUUAGGCAGGUUCAUAUCACACAUAUCACACAUUGUUAAUGGUCUUGAUUGCCGUUUGCAAGGUCAGAAUCAAAGUAAAAAUUUGGUCAGGUGUUUGGUUUGGCCAUGAGGACUAGUGGUCUUGGUGCAUUUCCUAGUUAUGAGGAAUAAAUUUUUUUGGUGCAUUUCCAAGUCAUGAUUUCAAGUUGGUCUUUAGACUCAAAUAUUCCAAAAUUAAGAUUAGGACUUCCUUUGUUUGAACCUUUUUGACAUAUUCUACCAAUAAACAACCAAAAAUUUGAUGUUGUAUCAUGCCAUCUGUGUAACAUUACCAACAUGGAGUUACGGAUCAUUUCCCAUGCUAGUAUUGGUAAAUUUCAAGUUGUUAU